rnacentral:rRNA from 1 species
GAUGAACGCUGGCGGCGUGCUUAACACAUGCAAGUCGAACGAGAAGUGGAGACGGAAACCUUCGGGCGGAAGACUUUAUUUCGAGUGGCGGACGGGUGAGUAACGCGUGGGUAACCUGCCUCAUACAGGGGGAUAACAGUUGGAAACGACUGUUAAUACCGCAUAAGACCACAGCACCGCAUGGUGCGGGGGUAAAAACUCCGGUGGUAUGAGAUGGACCCGCGUUCGAUUAGCCAGUUGGCGGGGUAACGGCCCACCAACGCGACGAUCGAUAGCCGAUCUGAGAGGAUGACCGGCCACAUUGGGACUGAGACACGGCCCAAACUCCUACGGGAGGCAGCAGUGGGGAAUAUUGCACAAUGGGGGAAACCCUGAUGCAGCGACGCCGCGUGAGUGAAGAAGUAUUUCGGUAUGUAAAGCUCUAUCAGCAGGGAAGAAAAUGACGGUACCUGAGUAAGAAGCCCCGGCUAACUACGUG